rnacentral:misc_RNA from 1 species
GAUGAAGAACGUAGCGAAAUGCGAUAAGUAAUGUGAAUUGCAGAGUUCAGUGAAUCAUCGAAUCUUUGAACGCACAUUGCGCCCUCUGGUAUUCCGGGGGGCAUGCCUGUUCGAGCGUCAUUAUAACCACUCAAGCUCUCGCUUGGUAUUGGGGUUCGCGGUUCCGCGGCCCCUAAAAUCAGUGGCGGUGCCUGUCGGCUCUACGCGUAGUAAUACUCCUCGCGAUUGAGUCCGGUAGGUCUACUUGCCAGCAACCCCCAAUUUUUACUGGUUGACCUCGGAUCAGGUAGGGAUACCCGCUGAACUUAAGCAUAUCAAUAAGCGGAGGA